CUACGGGGCGCUGCAGUCGAGAAUCUUCCGCAAUGGACGAAAGUCUGACGGAGCGACGCCGCGUGCGGGAUGAAGGCCUUCGGGUUGUAAACCGCUGUCAGUGGGGAGGAAAUGCAUCAGGGUUCUCCCUGGUGUUUGACCGAUCCGCAGAGGAAGCGCAGGCUAAGUUCGUGCCAGCAGCCGCGGUAACACGAACUGCGCGAACGUUAUUCGGAAUCACUGGGCUUAAAGAGUUCGUAGGCGGCCUUUCAAGUCGGGUGUGAAAUCCCUCGGCUCAACCGAGGAAUUGCGCCUGGUACUGUUGGGCUUGAGGGGGAUAGGGGUGAGCGGAACUGAUGGUGGAGCGGUGAAAUGCGUUGAUAUCAUCAGGAACACCGGUGGCGAAGGCGGCUCACUGGAUCUCUUCUGACGCUGAGGAACGAAAGCUAGGGGAGCGAACGGGAUUAGAUACCCUGGUAGUC
rnacentral:rRNA from 1 species